UACGAAGGGGGCUAGCGUUGCUCGGAAUUACUGGGCGUAAAGGGCGCGUAGGCGGGUGUUUAAGUCAGAGGUCAAAUCCCAGAGCUCAACUCUGGAACUGCCUUUGAUACUGGACACCUAGAGUACGGGAGAGGUGUGUGGAACUCCGAGUGUAGAGGUGAAAUUCGUAGAUAUUCGGAAGAACACCAGUGGCGAAGGCGGCUCACUGGUCCGGGUACUGACGCUGAGGUGUGAAAGCGUGGGGAGCAAACAGG
rnacentral:rRNA from 1 species